rnacentral:lncRNA from 1 species
CGGGAAAAUACUCAAAAAAGGCCCUGACCCGGACGACAACGUAAGCAGCUUUAUCGAUUUCGGUGAAGAGCAGGUGAGUUCGUAAAAAGCUCACCUGCUCGGAACGAAUCAGAAAGCCGCUUUUAACACAGGUAUUGCAUAAUAAAUAAAGUUUACAUUACCUUGCACAUAUCAUGGAUAAGCAUACACCUGUAAUUCGCACAUCGUCAACUUGUUGAGAAAUGACUGUAUCACCAAGUAUUGUCCAUGUAUCGGUGGGGAACAUGAGAAUGUCUUAGUCUGCCCUUGGGGUACAGCAAGAUUAGUUUCUCCACAUCGAGGAUUUGAUCGGCCAUGAUCUUCCAAACUGUUGCUAAUCUUUAUUGCGAAAUUGCCCAAUCUAUAG